GGAAGAACCGCCGCGCGGAGCCUUCCGGACUUCGGUUCCACCUCCCCGCUGCAAAUCUGUGCUCUGCGCGCGCGGCCGCCAGCCGGGCAAAGAUCUGGCUGCUUGUGGGAAAAGAUAGUAACCUGGAAACAGGCCAUCCUCAACAAGUAUAAUGCUAGGUAUAGACAGUGUCUCUUGACUCCCAGCUUUAAAAGAUGAAGAUGCCAGCAUCUCUAACCUUCCAGUUGUAUCCUGUGUUUUGGACUCCCUGUUUUCUUUCCUGGUUUAACCCCUCAUCUUUUUGAAGCACACCUUCAAGUAGUUUUCUAAGAAAAAGAGCUAGUAGGUAAAAUUUCUAUGUUCUUGCAUGUCUGUCUGAAUAUUUAAUCUUAUACUUUAAUUCUUUGGUUAAUUACAAACUUCUAGAAAAAAGAAUUUUCCCUCUGAAUUAUUUUAAAUUAAGAAAUUUAAAAAUUAUUUGCUAUUUUCCCUUACAGCUUUGUUAUGUAUCAGUUGUAUUUCUUAAAUUCCUUACUUUUCAUUUUGAAAAAUAUCAAAUCUAUAAAAAAAUGGAAGGAAUAGUGAAAAGAACACCUAUAUGUCCUUCACAUAGAUCCACUAAUCAUUAAGAUUUUGCCAUAUUUGGUAUAUCUUUCUGUCUACACACAUGUGGUGUGCAUGCAUACACACACACACACACACACACACACACACACACACACAAAUGCACAUACACAUGCACAGUUUUUCUGAACCAUUUAAUGUAACUUUCAGAUAUCAUGUCACUUCACCCCAAGUAUAUAUAUCCUAAGAACAAAGACAUUCUCAUGCAUAACUACACUACAGUUAUUGUACUCAAUAAAGUAAUGUAAAUAAAAUAAUAUCAUCUAACUGAUAUACAACCCACUUUUGUCUCUCUCUAAUUGUUCAAAUAAACUUCUCCACAGCUGUUUGUUUUCUUGUCAAUCCAUGAUUCAGUUGUGUUUAAUAGUCAAUCUCUUUGAAGGUAUGUCAUCUGUUUUCUAACAUUUGGUGUUGGUGAUAAAAAAUCUGAAUUUUGUUCCUUCAUAAGUGGUAUUUUUUUCCUUGCGGAAGCUUUUAGAGUAUUUUCUUUUUUUCCCAGUGUUCUAAAAUUUUGCAGACACAUGGGUCUCUUAAAAGACCUUGUGCUGUUUGCUCUGUAGGUACUUUCAAUCUGAAAACGUAUAACUUUAACCUUUUGGAGAUAUUGUUGUAUUGCUCAUUUGAUAAUGUUUCCCCUCUGAUUUCUAUCUUUCUUUAUUUGGAAUGCCUGUAAAACUGGGCCUCCUGGAAAGGUCUUCUGAGUCUCAUUUCUUUCAUGUCUCCCAUCUCAUGGUCUUUUUGCUCUGCUUUCUGGAAGAUUUCUUCUGUUUUAUCUUCUGGGCCUUCAAUUUAUUUCAGCAUGAUAUUUUCAUUCUGUAAGAGCCCUUUCUUGUUCUCUGAUUGUGCCGUUUACUUAGUAUCUUGUUUAUGAUUUUGAAUGCAAUAACUUCCUGAAUAUAGUUAUGAUUAUAAUUAGAAAAAAAUUUUAAUUCUCUUCUAUUUCCUGAAUUAGUUCUCUUUCCUUUGAGGUUGUUUUUUUCCUGUUUGUGGUACUUUUUUAAGGCAGCCCUUAGCAAAUGAAUACAAAUUUCUGUCUCUCUUUCUUUCCCUCCCUUCCCUCCUUCUUCCUCCCUCCCUCCCUCCCUUCCUUCUCUCCUUCCUUCUUCCUUCUUUCUCCUCCUCUUCCUCCUCCUCCCUUUUCUUCUUUGUUAUUUAAUGGAAGAACUCUCAGGUGUUUCACUUGGAGAGUUGAUCUUUCUGGAGGCCCUGCAUUCUGAACGAGGGGAGGAGCUAAGGACUGGACUGUUUAAGACAGAGCCUUUGGAGUAAUCCCAGUGUUUUUGGCCCGGUCUCACUUGCGUACUCUGUCUUAUGCCUCUCUGGAAUUCUGUAGGGAAGAUCGGCAACCUCCUCUGCGGUGUGUCAUCUGUCAUUACUUCUGUAUCAGCUUGACACAGUCUCACAAUUUUUUUUUAAACUUUCUUCCGCUGAUGGACAACUUCUUGUUCUCAUUGUCAUUGUGGAUUUAUUCCCAUUUUAGUCCUUUACUAUCAUUUUUGUAGGGUCUUAGGGGGAAGAAGAGAAAAACUGAGUGGCCAGCCCAUCAUUUUGAAAAUAGCACUUAUUUUCUUGUCUCCAACUUGCAGUUUUGAUCUUUUUAGCUGAGAAGUUAUUUAGGAGGCUUGUAUCAGUCAGGAUGGGCUAGGCUAUGCUGUAUAACAAAACUCUCAAAAUAUUAAUGGCUUAAAAUAGCAAAAGUUUAUUUCUUGCUCACCGAGGUUGGCUGGUGGCUUUGCUCCAGGUCUCCCCACUCUGAGACCCAGGCUAACAGAGCAGCUGCCAUCUUGCUGUUACCAGUUGCCAUGGCAGAGAUAACCUAGUGAAUCAUGCACUGUCCCUUUAAGUUUCCACCCAGAAAUGAUACCCAUCAUUUCUCUUCAUAUUUCAUUGGCCAAAGAAAAUCAUUUGACUAUUCUUAACAUCAAAGGGGGUGAAGAAGUACAAUCCUACCCUGUGCCUAGAAAAUGGAAAGCUGGAAAUGUCUGUUGAACAGUACAAUGAACCACCAGAAGAUUGUAAAAUUUCAAGUGUUUGAAUUCUGAAAACUUUUAACACUUGAAUUAAAAAAAAAUUGCACUGGAAUCAGAGAAUGUAGGCUUGUAUAAAAUUCCUGAGAUUUUUUCAUUGCAUUAUUUGUGACUGAUUUUUUAAAAUGCUUUAUGGGAUUGGUAAAGGUGUACCCUUUGUUGGUUGUAGACAAGUUUGACACAUACACAACAUGAAGCUAUUUAUAUCUUCUAUAUACCUGUUAAUUUUUUUAUAUACCAGAUCUAUCAAAGACUAAAGAAUUAUUUAAAGUUCUUACCAUACUAUUGUGUUUCUAUAGAUUUCUCCUUGUUUUUAUAACAGUUUUGCACUCAUAUUUACCUUGUAAGAGUUCAUAGUAGAUAUGCAUUUUCUAUUUUGUUUAAAUAACCUUUGUCUCAAUUAA